UUCCUUCUUAAUGCGUUUGAGCCAAUCAGUUGUGUUGUGACAAGGUAGGGGUGGUAUACAGAAGAUAGCUCUAUUUGGUAAAAGACCAAGUCCAUAUUAUGGCAAGAACAGCUCAAAUAAGCAAAGAGUAAUGACAGUCCAUCAUUACGUUAAGACAUGAAGGUCAGUCAAUGCGGAAAACAUCAAGAACUUAAAAGUUCAAGUGCAGUCGCAAAAACCAUUGAGUGCUAUGAUGAAACUGGCUCUCAUGAGGACCGCCACAGGAAAGGAAGACCCAGAGGAUAAAUUCGUUAGAGUAAACUGCACCUCCGAUUGCAGCCCAAAUAAAUGCUUUACCGAAUUCAAGUAACAGACACAUCUCAACACGAACUGUUCAGAGGAGACUGUGAAUUAGGCCAUGGUCAAAUUGCUGCAAAUAAACAACUAAAGGACACCAAUAAGAAGACGAUACUUGCUUAGGCCAAGAAACACGAGCAAUGGACAUUAGACCAGUGGAAAUCUGUCAUUUGGUCUGAUGAGGCCAAAUUUUAGAUUAUUGGUUCCAACCUACGCAAAGACGCAGAGUACAGAAAGUGAAUGGAUGAUCUCUGCAUGUGUUGUUUGCACCAGGAAGCAUGGAGGAGGAGGAGGAGGUGUGACGUUGUGGGGGUGCUUUGCUGGUGACACUGUCAGUGAUUUAUUUAGAAAUCGAGGCACACUUAACCAGCAUUGCCAACACAGCAUUCUGCUGUGAUUCCCCAUCCCAUUGGGUUUAUGCUUUGUGGGCCUAUCAGUUGUUUUUCAACAGGACAAUGACCCAACAUACCUCCAGGCUGUGUAAAGGCUAUUUGACCAAGAAGGAGUGAUGGAGUGCUGCAUCAGAUGACCUGGCCUCCACAAUCACCCGACCUCAACCCAAUUGAGAUGGUUUGGGAUGAGUUGGACCGCAGAGUGAAGGAAAAGCAGCCAACAAGUGCUCAGCAUAUGGGAACUCCCUGUUGGAAAAGCAUUCCUCAUGAAGCUGGUUGAGAGACUGCCAAGAGUGUGCAAAGCUGUCAUCAAGGCAAAGGGUGGCUACUUUGGAGAAUCUAAAAUAUAUUUUGAUUUAUUGAACACUUUUUGGUUACUACAUGAUUCCGUAUGUGUUAUUUCAUAGUUUUGAUGUCCACUAUUAUUCUACAAUGUAGAGAAUAGUAAAAAUAAACACUUGACUGAGUAGGUGUGUCCAAACUUUGGAUUGGUACUGUAAAUACACACAGUACAUGUGUAAUCUUUGUGAUAAAUGCAAACUCAGAGGAUUCCGUGUCUCUAUUGGUCCAUUAUUCUAACUGCAAAGUCACGUGGUUUGUCAAGGUGGUAGCUGUUAUUAUCUAUGUAAUCUGAACAAAGCGGUUCAUACAGGGUCCUAGGAGCAUCAUCAUCACAAGACCGGGAGACAAUACUCACUUUGCGACAGGGACAUAAUGGAGAGCACAGCAGGGUGGGAGACAGGAUCGAUCCAACUCCCCUGUACCUAGCUGUGUUUCCAUGAAGAGUAACCAGUCCAUUAGAGAACCUAUAGAAUUCAGAGAAGGACCUUUUCAAACUGACCAAAGGGUCCAGCAGGAGAGACCAGACUCCACUGUACCCAGUGGUAUAUCCAUGAAGAGUGAACAGUCAAAGAGAGAGCCUAUAGAAUUCCGGAGUGAAGACUUUCCUCCAAAACAAGAUCUGAAUCAGUGUAACCUCACAGAGAGAUGCUGUGAAGAGCUGGCCUCAGCGCUCAGCUCAAACUCCUCAUACCUGAGAGAGCUGGACCUGAGUCACAGUAACCUGCUGGAUUCAGGAGUGAAGCUGCUUUGUUUUGGACUGGGGAAUCCACACUGUAAACUACAGAUACUACGGGUGAAUCGAUGCUACAUCACAGACAGAUGCUGUGAAGCGUUGGCCUCAGCUCUCAGCUCAAACUCCUCACACUUGAGAGAGCUGGACCUGAGUCACAAUGACCUCAGCUGCUCUCUGCUGGACUGGAAAAUCUACACUGUCAACUGAAGACUCUGAGAAUGGACAUUGCUGAAGAGAGCAGGCUCAACUUCGGGCUUAGGAAAUAUCACUGUGAGCUCACACUGGAGCCGAACACAGCACAAAGACUGCUCUUGCUGUCUGAAGGGAACAGAAAGGUGACAAGGGUGAGGGAGGAGAAGCCAUAUCCUGACCAUCCUGAAAGAUUUGACCACUCAAAACAAGUGCUGUGUAGAGGGUUUGUUUGGGAGAUGCUACUGGGAGGCAGACUGGAGUAGGGAAUGGGUCGGUAUAGGAGUGGCAUACAAAGGAAUCAAUAGAAAAUACAAGUUUGAUGUCAGCUGGCAUGGAUGCAAUGCCAAGUCCUGGAGACUGAACUGCUCUCAUUACAACUACAUUGCCUGCCAUGGCGAUGAGUGCACUAGCAUACAUGUCCUCUCCUCUCUCUCUAAAAGAAUAGGAGUAUAUCUUGACUGGCUGGCUGGCACUCUGUCCUUCUACAGAGUUGUCUCUGCUGGAUUGACCCACCUGUACACCUUCCGUACCACAUUUGCUGAGCCGCUCUAGCCCGUAUUUACUCUUUGGGAUGGCUCCUCUGUGUCCCUGUGCUCCAGGUGAAACAGCCUUUAGUGUCUUGGAACACCCUUCAGGUUUCACAUGCUUUACUGUUGUUAAUCCAUCCUUGUGUGGAACAUGGCUUCUCAAAUAGCUAGACACUUUUGUGUAUAUAAAGUGCUAUUGAAGCAGUAGCUUAAAUCUAAAUAAUGUGCAAUGUUUAUGAUUAAUGCUAUUCUGUAGAUGAUUAACUUCUGUUUUAUAUUGCCUUUGCUGUAGUUUUCCAUAUCUUGAAUUAAUAUUAAA